rnacentral:rRNA from 1 species
CUAUCCUAGGGAGGCAGCAGUGGGGAAUAUUGCACAAUGGGCGAAAGCCUGAUGCAGCAACGCCGCGUGAACGAAGAAGGCUCUUGGGUCGUAAAGUUCUGUUCUGAGGGAAGAAGAAAGUGACGGUACCUCAGGAGAAAGCCCCGGCUAACUACGUGCCAGCAGCCGCGGUAAUACGUAGGGGGCAAGCGUUGUCCGGAAUUAUUGGGCGUAAAGAGUACGUAGGCGGGCUGUUAAGCGCAAGGUGAAAGGCAUAGGCUCAACCAAUGUGAGCCUUGCGAACUGGCAGACUUGAGUGCAGGAUG